GUAGGUGCAUUUAUAUAUCUAACAUAGUGGGUGAGGAGUGUAGUACACAAAAUUGAUGUACAUUUGCCUAUCAUAAAUAUGCUGGCCAAGAGAGAACUAAGGUAAAUAUAUCCCCAACAUCCAUCAGUCUCUGAAUUGAGGGCUGAGGGACACUAGUUAAUUCCUGAGCAUUCCCAUUCUCAUGUGCUCAAAAAGAUAUGGCCACCAUCCAAUAAUAAUGUAAACCUGAUGCCAAGAAGUCAUGUUGGCAUGCUUAGAAAUGUUAAAGAGAUGUGAGGAGAAAUAAGAGAAUUAUCAAUCACAUCAGCUAAGUCACCAUGCCUUUGUUCAUGUUCUUCCCCUACAUUCCUCCCUUUCUAAUUUCUAUUGUAUAGGUGCCAUACGCUCUGCAACAGCCUAUUGAAGUACCUUGUUAACCUCAGUCAGGCAUGCUUAUAUGGAAUCCUGCCUCAGUUAUAUUAUUUAUGAAAUCCUUAGACCUACCAAAUGAUGUCAGAUGUAAAACUAAAGUCAGCCAAGUUCAAAUAAGAAGAGAAGGCCAGGAUGACAGAGGCAGCCAGAGAAUGUUAAUAGUCCCCUGGGAAUUGAAAUCAGAAGAGUAGCUAUUUCUAGGAUAAAAGAAGAAUUACCUGAAAAGGAAUAAGAGGGAUUUCUCUGUGAGGAUGAAAUGUCUGAAUCCUAAUUUGGUGUGCUGUUAAUAGGUUAUGGAGUGAUCCUCUCCCAACAGAGGUUAUGGAGUGAUCUCGUCUGCAGAGGAGAAGGACAAAAAGGCAGAGGAAUCCCUCAUUUCAAAAGAGAUUAAGGAGUUGUGAAAACAGUAUCAAAUUUUGUAGAAAAGCCGCACUAUCAGAGAACAGUAUGUUGAAUGAGCAGAUUUGCACCAGGGAAAGGAAAAUGGCAUGCGCAUUGAAGGCAUUGGGUUUAGGAAUUUAAAGUGUUGUACCAGUCUUUGGAAGUCUCUUAUCAGGGCUUCCAGAGCACGACUGACAAUGUGAUAGGGUGCUGAGUCAUGUCAACUUGUAUUUACUGUGUGUGUCCUAUCCCAUAAUUCACUCUGUUAUAAUUGGAUGUGUGAAAUACGGUCCUUCAAUAUGCAUGAAUCUUCAAGGCAUUCCAGGUGAAGAAAGGUUUCUGUAGGCCAUGCAGGAGGAUUUGGCAGAAAUGUGUCCUGGUUAGGGAUUUGGGGAAUUUUUUAGGGCAGCCUCCGGGGUCUUUGUUUUUCUCAUCCCUGCCUCCAGAGAAUGGGCCUCAGGACAAAGGGGAAGGGGGUAAUGACACUUGAUCCUGGUUGCCCAGGUUCAGGUGAGUGGAAGGGAAGUUGUCCAUUGUAUAGUGUGAUAAUUUGAUAUGAAUGUAUACAAUGUGUGAUGAUCAAAUCAGGUGGCUAAUACUUCUAUUUCCUACAUUUUAAAAAUUUUGGACUAACACAUAGUACAGUAAUUGUACAUAUUGAUGAAGUACAGUAGGAUAUUUCAGUGCAUGUGUUCAAUAUGUAUUAAUGAAAUUUGGGUAAUU
rnacentral:lncRNA from 1 species